UUUGAAGGAAGAAAGAAAGCAUUUCUUUCUGAGUGGCCUGGUGAAAGAGUUCAAGGCUGUCAAGCUGGAGGAUCCAGCAAGUGGAAGAGCCAGGUGCUUGGUGGAUUAGUCUUCAUUUACAGACAAUUGGUUUUCUUCCUGUGGUGGGAGAUGAGAGAAAUUGGCUACAUGCUAGAGGGAAACUGAGGUAGUAACUGCACUCUACAGGAAGAGGGAAGGUGCUUGUCCAUAGAGCUAUGUUCCAAAAGAUUUUAGACAUUAUAGCAGUGACUGAAACCUGAUGUGCCAAAAUACUGAAUACGGGGAAGAACUAUCCUGUUGAUACUUCAAACUAUCUCAUGGCUGGAUUGUAGCACAGGUUGCCCUAACUUUGCUCCAAGGAAGCAAAGUCUGCAAGCCAUCAGGUCUGUUGGACUGAGAGAAUGGAUGGCCUAAAGAUAUAGGAGUGGUUAGCAAAUGACUUUUCUCUCACCUCUGCUCUUGAAGAAGGGUCAAGAAACUUGUGACAAUUAGAUGAAAUAUGUGAUGAAGGAGUGUUGUGUGUUGGAGUCCCACCUUCUGCUCCCACCCCCAAACUCCAUGCAUAACCCCUUCCCCAAGACACACAGAUAUUCUAGUCUACUGUUUAUCUGGAAGAUCUAUCACUAAUAAUUAGCAUCCAGAAUGGAAUUUUCAAAAGCACUUGGUGUGCCUUAACUCUGCUCCAACUGACAUCAAUGAUAAAGCUCCCACUGCGAGCUUCAGUGGGAGCAGACUUCAGCCAAGAUUGAGCAUUCUUGAAAAUCCCACUUUGGGAGAAAUCUUGAGGUUUAAAUGAACCACACCUUUGUAUUUUGGGGAGUCUCAUAACUCCCAAUGAAUAUAGAUAUUUGAUAAAGAGAAUCUAUAUAAUAGGCCUGAAAAUUUUCCAUUUAAAAUAAAUUAGACCAAAUUGAGGGAAAGCCCACAUCCCCAUCUGACAGCUCUUUAUACCACUCUUUACUGAAGGAAGAUUUAUUUGUGCUAAACUGAAGAAUAUGCAAUCUUGUUGUUCAGUUGUAAAAAUGAAAUAUGUGACUUU